rnacentral:rRNA from 1 species
CUACGGGUGGCUGCAGUGAGGAAUAUUGCACAAUGGGGGGAACCCUGAUGCAGCAACGCCGCGUGGAGGAUGACGCAUUUCGGUGUGUAAACUCCUUUUAUAUGUCAAGAAAAUGACGGUAGCAUAUGAAUAAGCACCGGCUAACUCCGUGCCAGCAGCCGCGGUAAUACGGAGGGUGCAAGCGUUACUCGGAAUCACUGGGCGUAAAGGACGCGUAGGCGGGUUGGAAAGUCAGGUGUGAAAUCCUACAGCUUAACUGUAGAACUGCACUUGAAACUUCUAAUCUAGAGUAUGGGAGGGGGAGAUGGAAUUAGUGGGGUAGGGGUAAACUCCGUAGAUAUCACAAGGAAUACCAAAAGCGAAGGCGAUCCCCUGAAACAUUACUGACGCUAAGGCGUGAAAGCGUGGGGAGCAAACAGGAUUAGAUACCCUCGUAGUC